AUUGAACGCUGGCGGCAUGCCUUACACAUGCAAAUCGAACGGUAACGGGCCUUCGGGUGCCGACGAGUGGCGAACGGGUGAGUAAUACAUCGGAACGUGCCCGAUCGUGGGGGAUAACGAGGCGAAGGCUUUGCUAAUACCGCAUACGAUCUACGGAUGAAAGCAGGGGACCGCAAGGCCUUGCGCGGACGGAGCGGCCGAUGGCAGAUUAGGUAGUUGGUGGGAUAAAAGCUUACCAAGCCGACGAUCUGUAGCUGGUCUGAGAGGAUGAUCAGCCACACUGGGACUGAGACACGGCCCAGACUCCUACGGGAGGCAGCAGUGGGGAAUUUUGGACAAUGGGCGCAAGCCUGAUCCAGCCAUGCCGCGUGCAGGAUGAAGGCCUUCGGGUUGUAAACUGAUUUUGUACGGAACGAAAAGCCUUCUUUUAAUACAGGAGGGUCAUGACGGUACCGUAAGAAUAAGCACCGGCUAACUACGUG
rnacentral:rRNA from 1 species